rnacentral:rRNA from 1 species
CCAUGAAUCUGGUCUUGGGACACUGUCAGGUGGGCAGUUUGACUGGGGCGGUCGCCUCCCAAAAGGUAACGGAGGCGCUCAAAGGUUCUCUCAGUACGGUCGGAAAUCGUACGUAGAGUGUAAAGGCAAAAGAGAGCUUGAUUGCAAGACAUACAGGUCGAGCAAGGAUGAAAAUCGGACUUAGUGAUCCGGUGGUUCUGCGUGGAAGGGCCAUCGCUCAACGGAUAAAAGCUACCCUGGGGAUAACAGGCUUAUCUCCCCCAAGAGUCCACAUCGACGGGGAGGUUUGGCACCUCGAUGUCGGCUCAUCACAUCCUGGGGCUGUAGUAGGUCCCAAGGGUUGGGCUGUUCGCCCAUUAAAGUGGUACGCGAGCUGGGUUCAGAACGUCGUGAGACAGUUCGGUCCCUAUCCGUCGCAGGCGUAGGAAAUUUGAGAAGACCUGUCCUUAGUACGAGAGGACCGGGAUGGACGUACCUCUGGUGUACCAGUUGUCCUGCCAAGGGCAUGGCUGGGUAGCUAUGU